rnacentral:rRNA from 1 species
UCCAGACUCCUACGGGAGGCAGCAGUGGGGGAUAUUGCACAAUGGGGGGAACCCUGAUGCAGCGACGCCGCGUGGGUGAAGGAGCGUUUCGGCGCGUAAAGCCCUAUCGGCAGGGAAGAAGGAGGACGGUACCUGACUAAGAAGCCCCGGCUAACUACGUGCCAGCAGCCGCGGUAAUACGUAGGGGGCAAGCGUUAUCCGGAUUUACUGGGUGUAAAGGGGGCGCAGACGGCAGCGCAAGCCAGGAGUGAAAGCCCGGGGCCCAACCCCGGGACUGCUCUUGGAACUGCGCGGCUGGAGUGCAGGAGGGGCAGGCGGAAUUCCUGGUGUAGCGGUGAAAUGCGUAGAUAUCAGGAGGAACACCGGUGGCGAAGGUGGCCUGCUGGACUGCGACUGACGUUGAGGCCCGAAAGCGUGGGGAGCAAACAGGAUUAGAUACCCCUGUA